CUCCCCUGUCCAGCCCCGCGGGCCGCCCUCGCCGCCGCCGCUGCCUGUGGCCGCUGGAAUCCCUGUCGCCCCGGGACUCAGCUGACAGCGGACAGACAAUGAUCUCAAGCCCCCCAGGGCAGGGACAGGUCACCUGAGUUUCCACUGUCUCCCCAGGUCUCAGCACGGGGCUGGCACCUGGAAGGUGUUCAGUAAGUGUGGGCUGAAUGAAUGCAUGAGCUGAUGAGAACCGGGGUGCUGUGCAGAGACCCCCGAUCCUGGGAAGAAUGGACCUUGUCUGGAGUUUCUAAGCCUCCUAGACCAGGAGCCAGAAGAUGUUGGAGACAGGACCAUCCCUGAAGCCACUUUCAGGGAAGGAGAGGAAAAGGCCCUUUAACCAAGCCUCACUUUGUACCAGCCUAACCUGCUACAUCUCAGUUCUUAGUGAACACGAGUGGAGGAAGAAAAGUUAUCAGGAGGAGACGCUUCGCAAGAGAGUGAUUUGAGGAAGAGGAUUGUCAGAGUUGGUACAAAAUUUGCAUCUAUUUUCCAAAGACCGUGCGACACUUGCCCUGGGCAAGAGGACCCGCACUGGACACAAUCCAGAGUCUGUGUUCCCAUCCCAUUUUUCUCUCAAGUUAACCAUAAGUCUCCCCAGUGAUCAAAAAAAAAAAACAAAAAAAAACAAAAAAAAAAACAACCUGUUAAUUUCAAAGUCAUCUGAGUCCCUGAGGAGCCUGAGUCCCUUAUUUUGUGAUUAUUGACCUUAAUUCUUUUUCCCAUUUAAAAUAUUGUGGUAAAGUCGAUAUAACCUAAAAUUUAGUCAUUUUAGUAAUUUUUGCCUGUAUGGUUCAGUGGCCUUAGGUACAUUGACAUGACUGCAGCCAUCACCACUGUUCAUCUCUAGAACUUCUUCAUCAGCACCACGUGAAACUGUCCCCCUUGAACAUUAACGCCCCACUCCCCCUUUCACAGAGCCCCUGGCAACACCCUUGCUGCUUUUGGCCUCUGUGAACUUGACAUCUCUAGCUUCCUCAUAUAAGUGGAAUCAUACAGGAUUUGUCCUUUUGUGAGUGGCUAUGUCACUUAGCAUAAGCUUCCUCAAGGUUCAUUCACAUUGUAGCCCGUGUCAGAAUUUCCUUCGCUUUUAAGGCCGAAUAAUAUUCCACUGCAUGGAUAAGCCACACUUUGUUUCUCCGUCAUCUGUUCGUAGACACUUGGGUUGUUUCUACCUUUUGGCUACUGACUAAUGCUACUGUGAACAUGGUGUACAAAUAUCUGUCCAAACCUCUGCUUUUGAUUCUUUUUAUGCAUAUAUCUAGAACUAGAAUUGCUGGAUCAAAUGGUAAUUUGAUGUUUAAUCUUUUGAGGAACCGUCACACUUUUCCAUGGUGGUUGCGUGAUUUUACACUCUACCAGCAGUAUCCACAUCCUCGCCAGGUGCCUCAAAAGAGAGUUUAUUCUUUAUAGGGCGUCGGGUGCAAAUCUAAUUGUUGGGAAGUUCUUUUAUCCAGAGUUCAAAUACUCUUGUAUCCUUUACAGUUGGCCUGGCCUGGCCCUGAAUCAGCCCAUCUUGAGUCUGCUCCUUCUUUCCCUGGGUGUUUCCCUUCAGCAGCCUGGGUCAGCCGCUGCCCAAGCCAUCAGCACACUGGCCUGCUCCCUGUGCAUGCCUGCUGGCCCCUGCCUUGUUCUGACGGAUGCCAACCAUGGGGUUUCCUCACUGAUUGCUCGUGAGGCGCCUCCUGCCCUGAGUGGGUGCAGACGCCGACAGGACAGGGGGACUCCACUCCCUUUCUCAAGGAGGGUGAGUUAUUGGAGGGAAUGCUGGCUCCCUGAGGAGUUAAAUCAUCCCUUGACUCAGACAAGAGCCCUUUGCCCCACAGGAGAGCAUUAUUCAUCCCGGCACCCGCGGGACCAGGCUCUAUGUCAGGGGAAAGUGCGGCUCCUAUUCCCCUCGCUCAGAAACUCAUAAAUCAUCCCUACUAGAAUUUCAGCUCUUCAGAUAGACAAGGAACAGCUGGCCAAGCCAGGUUUCCCAAGUGCCCCAACAGUUUGUUCUAGGGGGUGGUAGGGGAUGCAUCAGAGGAUCAGGGGACCCUGGACACCAGGGCUCUGCUUGGACUUCCCUUGAGGCCAGAUGACUUUCCCACUCCUGGUCCAUGUGAGACAGAAGGACUUCAGGUCCAGCACCCCCCAGGACUUGAAUGGCCUUGGAGGGAAUUCAUGAAAAGCCUGAGUGUUCUGUUUGUGGUGGCCACCCUGCCCCCAGGCCAGCACUUGGGCAAGACCAGGCUGCCCUGAAGUAACAUGGUUCUCCCUGUGCCUCAACUUCCUCAUCUGUCAAAUGGAAGAAAGACUGGACAAUCUCUUUGGCUCCUUUCACCUGUAACAUUCUACGAUACCAGCCAUCCAAGUGUUCCUUGUGGACUGACCACAAGUCCAAAUCAGCUGGUGCUGAGGUCUGUUUGGCUGUUUCAAUGGGAGCGGAGGAUUGGAUUGACCAUGUUGGAAGGUGUAUAAACUAUGAAGAUAGCACCAGAUGCAUGAACAGUCACUUUAAAGAAUCAACCUGAUGUGUUUUCUUAGGCACAGCUGGAUUCACAGGCAGAUAACAGUGUGAGUGUAUAGUGUGCCUGUCUAGUGUGUCUAUUUUGAGGCUCUGGAAUCCCUGACAGGAGAUAUAGUUUAGUGUUGACACCAUUGCUAGCUGGAGUGUCGAGAACAAUGCUGCCACCAGCACACCUUUGGAUGUGUGGGGCGGGCCAGCUAGGUGGUUACAGGGAGUACUAAGGAGCCCCCAGUCUUGACCAUGGCUGCAGGUGGAUCUCACCACAAAUUCUGGUUGACUGUUCUCCAAAUGUGAGCUGUUGGCCCCCACAUCUCCUAAGGGGUUGAAAUAGCACAAAUCAUUGCCACCACCAGUAAAUAAGGUCUAUCAAUGGGUCUAGGAAUGUGAACAGAUGGAAGGGGAAAAGUACUGGAUUAGGAACCAGAACGCUGGAGUGCAUACCCACUAAUCAGCUGGGUGACUUGGCAAACAGUGGAGAGGGGGAGUGUUCUCUGCCCAGCCUCUCCCUAACCCCCAACCCUGACCCUGCAUGAGGUCCAGCAGCAUAUGAUGUCCCAAAUAUUUCAAUCGUACUUAACUUUGUCUGAGUUGGAUUUUGGUCACUUGCAGCUAAAGGAGUUGCAAAACAGAAGACCAUGUCACCUCUAGCACCCCGUUGAUUCAUUUUAUUCAUUAAAAUAAGGGUACUGAAAUAGAUAAUUGCUGAAGUUUUCUCAGCUCUGUGAUUCUACUUUUGCCUAUGACAUGCGAGAAAACAUGCUCCAGCUCAGUUAGCUUACGAUUCAAAUUGAAAAAAUAAAAAGUAAAAUAAUUAAAAAAUUGAAAAAAAGGAGUGUCUGGGUGGCUCAGU